UUAAGUUAUUAAGGGCGCACGGUGGAUGCCUUGGCACUAGAAGCCGAUGAAGGACGUUACUAACGACGAUAUGCUUUGGGGAGCUGUAAGUAAGCUUUGAUCCAGAGAUUUCCGAAUGGGGAAACCCAGCAUGAGUUAUGUCAUGUUAUCGAUAUGUGAAUACAUAGCAUAUCAGAAGGCACACCCGGAGAACUGAAACAUCUUAGUACCCGGAGGAAGAGAAAGAAAAUUCGAUUCCCUUAGUAGCGGCGAGCGAAACGGGAAGAGCCCAAACCAACAAGCUUGCUUGUUGGGGUUGUAGGACACUCUAUACGGAGUUACAAAGGACGACAUUAGACGAAUCAUCUGGAAAGAUGAAUCAAAGAAGGUAAUAAUCCUGUAGUCGAAAAUGUUGUCUCUCUUGAGUGGAUCCUGAGUACGACGGAGCACGUGAAAUUCCGUCGGAAUCUGGGAGGACCAUCUCCUAAGGCUAAAUACUCUCUAGUGACCGAUAGUGAACCAGUACCGUGAGGGAAAGGUGAAAAGCACCCCGGAAGGGGAGUGAAAUAGAACCUGAAACCGUGUGCUUACAAGUAGUCAGAGCCCGUUAAUGGGUGAUGGCGUGCCUUUUGUAGAAUGAACCGGCGAGUUACGAUUUGAUGCAAGGUUAAGCAGUAAAUGUGGAGCCGUAGCGAAAGCGAGUCUGAAUAGGGCGUUUAGUAUUUGGUCGUAGACCCGAAACCAGGUGAUCUACCCUUGGUCAGGUUGAAGUUCAGGUAACACUGAAUGGAGGACCGAACCGACUUACGUUGAAAAGUGAGCGGAUGAACUGAGGGUAGCGGAGAAAUUCCAAUCGAACCUGGAGAUAGCUGGUUCUCUCCGAAAUAGCUUUAGGGCUAGCCUCAAGUGAUGAUUAUUGGAGGUAGAGCACUGUUUGGACGAGGGGCCCCUCUCGGGUUACCGAAUUCAGACAAACUCCGAAUGCCAAUUAAUUUAACUUGGGAGUCAGAACAUGGGUGAUAAGGUCCGUGUUCGAAAGGGAAACAGCCCAGACCACCAGCUAAGGUCCCAAAAUAUAUGUUAAGUGGAAAAGGAUGUGGCGUUGCCCAGACAACUAGGAUGUUGGCUUAGAAGCAGCCAUCAUUUAAAGAGUGCGUAAUAGCUCACUAGUCGAGUGACACUGCGCCGAAAAUGUACCGGGGCUAAACAUAUUACCGAAGCUGUGGAUUGUCCUUUGGACAAUGGUAGGAGAGCGUUCUAAGGGCGUUGAAGCAUGAUCGUAAGGACAUGUGGAGCGCUUAGAAGUGAGAAUGCCGGUGUGAGUAGCGAAAGACGGGUGAGAAUCCCGUCCACCGAUUGACUAAGGUUUCCAGAGGAAGGCUCGUCCGCUCUGGGUUAGUCGGGUCCUAAGCUGAGGCCGACAGGCGUAGGCGAUGGAUAACAGGUUGAUAUUCCUGUACCACCUAUAAUCGUUUUAAUCGAUGGGGGGACGCAGUAGGAUAGGCGAAGCGUGCGAUUGGAUUGCACGUCUAAGCAGUAAGGCUGAGUAUUAGGCAAAUCCGGUACUCGUUAAGGCUGAGCUGUGAUGGGGAGAAGACAUUGUGUCUUCGAGUCGUUGAUUUCACACUGCCGAGAAAAGCCUCUAGAUAGAAAAUAGGUGCCCGUACCGCAAACCGACACAGGUAGUCAAGAUGAGAAUUCUAAGGUGAGCGAGCGAACUCUCGUUAAGGAACUCGGCAAAAUGACCCCGUAACUUCGGGAGAAGGGGUGCUCUUUAGGGUUAACGCCCAGAAGAGCCGCAGUGAAUAGGCCCAAGCGACUGUUUAUCAAAAACACAGGUCUCUGCUAAACCGUAAGGUGAUGUAUAGGGGCUGACGCCUGCCCGGUGCUGGAAGGUUAAGAGGAGUGGUUAGCUUCUGCGAAGCUACGAAUCGAAGCCCCAGUAAACGGCGGCCGUAACUAUAACGGUCCUAAGGUAGCGAAAUUCCUUGUCGGGUAAGUUCCGACCCGCACGAAAGGCGUAACGAUUUGGGCACUGUCUCAACGAGAGACUCGGUGAAAUCAUAG
rnacentral:rRNA from 1 species